ACAUAAAUAGUAAACAGCAGCCCAUGGCACCACGGAGGAUGAUUCAUAUGAGAAGAUGAAUGGAAUCCCAGUCUCGCUGCAGAUAAAGAAGAGAUGGAAGAAGGCCGUGUGAAUGAAAGAGAUGCAGAGAAAUGGACAACUGCAAUCAAAAUGCAAUUAACUGAGAGCUUAUUUUUAAAAUGUAAACCUUUAGGGGCAGCUACUGGAUGACAACUAAUUAUAUAUAUUUUAAAUAUAAAUAGCCUAUAUCAAUUAUACAUUACAUUAAAAAAAAACAACAACCUUGAGAUUGAAAUCAAAAUGGACUACUUGCUUCAAAGACUUUUAGGGCACAAUUAAACACAGCAAAGAAACAAUGACACACAAGCCAUGUUUCACUUUCCAAUCAAAUCCUGAAUUGCACUCAAAAUGUUGCAUGGCAUAAUAUUAAAAGGUGUUUUUUUUUUUUUUUAAACCUUUUUAUAAUUGUUUUUUUAUAUAUUUGUAUUACGUUGUUUUUUUUUUUUUUUUGUUUUUUUUUUACAGUUUUUACCUGUUUCUUUCUUUUGGCCCCUUUAAAGUCACACUAUGCACAUUUUCGCCGCUAGAGGGCGUUUAUUCAAAAUAAACAAAGACAACUACCCAGUAGCCGA